AAGGAGAAGGGGCUCAUCUGAACUCUGUAGCACAUUCCUGGGAAAAAAUCACUUGAGUUCACUGUACCCAUUCCCAUUUUGCUUCUAGGAUGGGGACUUCACAGUCUUUCCCUUCAGGAAGUGUUUCUGAUCAUGUUCCUUAAGUCCAGCCCAUAGGACCCAGGUUCUACUGGCAGCUUUGUCUUGAACACCCGUCCCUUCUUGGCAACUGGCAUGGACAAAAAGUCAUUCCUAUCUGUUAAAGGGGAGCCUGAGACCUGCCCUAGGCCGACAAAAUAAGGAGGAGGUGGUACCCUCCUACUAAGGGCUUUUCCUUCAAGCUCCUGGGAGAUGCCGAGCUUCCAAAGGCAACCUGGGAAUGGGGAACUGUGGCUUCAGGAGGUCACCUGAAGUCCGAACUGGAAUCCUCUCUGCCCCUCCCUUCCAGAUUAACCGAAACCUGCUAAUUGUGGCAGCCCUUGCAACUCCCCUCCCCCACAGCCUUUUCCUCCCUCCCCUCCCCCUUCCAUCCGAAUGAUAAAGGGCCCGGCCUGCCUGCCCCAGCCAGGCCUCAGGCCCCAGGCCCAGCCUCCCCACACUACCCCACAGUCCUGAGCCUUCCAGGAGGCCAGGCCCCUACCCACGCCUACAGACUCCCCUGCAUGGGGCCCCAGGAUCCAAAGCCAGCCUCGCAGCCCCCCAAGAGAAGAAAGAAGAGAUACCUGCGGCAUGACAAGCCCCC
rnacentral:lncRNA from 1 species